AAAAAAAAAAAAAAAUAAUGUGGAUUUGAAAUACAAAUUUUGUUUAUCCUGUCAAAGAAAAUUAAAGAAAAAAAAAAGUCUAUUAAGAUCACUUUUAUAUGUUAAAAAAAUAUACUAAAAAGACUCAACACAUAAAUAAUUAUUAUUUUGUUUUUGUUUUAGUUAAUGGAUAUUUUAGGUCUUAAACCUAAUUAACUACUUUUUAGUAUUAAAUUAGUUAACCAAUCAAACUAUUAAGAAUAGCCUUUUGUUUAAUUAUAUUUAUUUUAUUUUUACUUCAUAAAAUCCAUCUUUAAUAUUAUUAAAUUAUUUAGUUUACUUUAGUUGAUUAUUAUCUGUUAUUUCAUAUUUGUUUAUUAAUUUCCCAAUAGUUUUAUUACAUAAUUUAGUAAUACUUUUUCAUUAAUAUUUUAUUAUAAACACAAUUAGAGGGGUUUGUUAAUACUUUUUACCCAACACAUGUUUUUACCUUUUUGAUUGGAUAAUAUCUAAACUAUCUUUGUGAUUAUAAUAAGGUGAGUUUUUAAUUAAAGUUGUGCUAAUUGAAGAUGGAUAUAUUAAUUAACAUGCCUUCAAAAAUUGUCAACUAUAAUAUAAUAUAAAUAUUUCUAAUGGUGAAAAUUAAUUACCAUAUUGAAUUGCAGGGGUUUGCUGCCCAUCCAUCAUAUACCCUUCAGAUAUUUUGAUUGAUAUAUUUAUAUUUUUUUAUUGGUUUCAUCUUGAUUUGAGGUGAAUCCAUAUUUCCACAAACAACCAAAUGUUACUAAUGUAAAUUAGAUGGUAUAAACCAAAUGUGUCUCGGGUGCAUCAAUACCAAUCUCUCUUGCUUAUUCAAAUUUCUCUUGCUUUGUGAAUAUGAACAAAACAGUUGUUUGUGUAUUUUUCUCACUUUCAUUAUUCUGUUAAUAUUUUAUGAGUGUUGUUGGUAGCAAAAAUAUGAACAUAAAAGCUCACAUUUACGUGUUCUAAGCAAUAUAUUUUAAUUUAGAGAAGAAAGAAAACGUCAGAUAAAAAUAAAAAAAAAGAGAUGUGUUCUACGAGACUUUUGAUGCUUAAAUUAAUAUGUAGUGAAGAGUUGGAGCAAACUAGAAGUAGGAAGAAUAACUUACCUUUUGUGGAGGUAUGGACUCUUGAAAGACAUAGGCUUUAGGAUUUCUAAUGUCAAUUCAGGUCGUAUCAUAAUAAGGGAUUAAGAACUUCACCUAUAUAGGAAAUGGGCCUUUGAAUGUAAAAGAGAGUGACCUCGACCUUGGGACAUUGUAGUUAGGUUGUUGCUUGGUUUGAAGUGGCCUCGACUUUGGCCUCCAAGGUCGAAAAUGGCAUAUGUUGCUUGAACCAAUUUUCUUUCUUCUCUCGGUCUCUCUCUUCCUCCCUUGGCUCCUUCUUAUACUCUUUUCACCCUUAUAACUACUCUUAUUUCAAUUUUAUGCUUAAUGUACUCUUUCCAACUUGUGACUCUAGCACCAAAAUGACCUAUAUCAAUUAACUUAACUAAAAAAUUAAAUAUAAACUUAGUUGAAUUUAAUUUUAUAAAAAACUAAAAGAAAAAAAAUGAAAAAUAACAUUGACAUCAAAGAGACCAAAUGAUUUGUUUAGUAAAGGGAAGAAAAGGACACCUGUUAAAUUAACUUAUAAAAAGUACUUAAUUAUGUCUUCAAAUGUUUCUUAUUUGGGAUUCUUUGAGAAGUACCUUCAAAUUCUUUUUUAAAAAAUUGAGUAUCUUCAAAUAAUCAAUUAUUCUCUUUUAUUACAAAAGUUGAGAAAGGAAAUAUAUUUAAUAAAAGCCUAUUUUGGCCUAAAGAAUUCAUUUAUUUAUCUUCAUACCAAGGUGUCGCAAGCAUGUAUAAUAAUAAUAUUACAAUAUCGAUAAUGAUGGAUAAUAAUAGAUGAUAGUGUAGUAUAGACAUUGUCAUAUUUUAAUUCAUUUUACUAUCUUUGAAAAAACAUAUACAUUAGGCAUGAUGCUUAGAAAUAAAAAAAAAAAUUCAUUUUUACGUUUCAUCAUUCUCAAAUGGAUCGAUAAUUUUAACAUUUAAACCUUCUCAAAUCCUCCAAAGUAAGUAAGUAUGUAUGUGUUUUUACGUAUAUAGAUGUACCGUAUACAUAUAUAUAUAUAUAUAUAUAUAUACACAUAUAUAUCAAAGGCCAUGAAAACAAUUCAAGAUUAAGCCUGUAUUAAUUUUUUUUAAAAAAAAGUCACACAAACACCUUAACUUAAACCAUGCAAAAUACCUAAACCUAGCAACAAAUUUAAGUGGGAUAAAUAUAUAUUAAGUAACAAUUUGAUUUUUGAAAAUCAAAUUUAUAAACCUUGCUUGUACCUAUGAACUUCUUUGAUAUGUAAUCUACCUUUUACGUGUGUAUUUUAGAAAUUCAAACUAAAUUUUUUAAAACUAAAAUAGAAAGUAGUAUAGUUUUAAAGUUUGUUUUUGCUUUUUAGAUUUAGCUAAGAAUUCAAUGUUUUGUUUUGGAUGAAUCAAUUCUAAAGAUUUAGUAGGGAGUGGGAAAACGAACAUAGAUUAUAAGGAGUGGAUGACAAUACUGUAAACUUAACAAUGAAGUAGUGUUUACGUAUAAGACUUCAAGAUUAAUUUAUGAGAAAUACAUGAAUGAAUUGAGAUUACAUUUGAACGAGAGAUCUUUAGAAAAUUAUAAAAAUAUAUGGUUAAGAAAUGCUUAAAAGAAUUGGUAAAAUAAUUAUAUUACUUAUACUAAAAAUGAUACACAUUUUUCAUUGAUCAAUCAUAAGAAUUGCAAAAUUAAACGUACUUAUGUUAGAGCGAUUCUAUUUCUAGAUACCCUCUUGAGAAAGUUCCUAAAAAUACAUAUGAGCGAGUACAAAACACAAUGGAAUGACCUGGAAUCAUUAAAUUUUAAAUCUAAAUCGUUGAGAGUUAUCAAAUUGGAUUUUAAAUCUAAAUCGUUGAGAGUUAUCAAAUUGGAUUACUGGUUAAUCCAAAUUCAAAUUUUAAUUUAAUAGAUUUAGAAAUUCAACAUUAAAAUCGCCCAAGACUAAAUAAGUAAUUAAAUAAGUAGAUCACACACAUAUAUACACCAAAACAAUUUAACUUAGCACUUAUGAAACCUUUCUUGUAACUAAGACACGCCUUUAAACUACAUCUUCAUGGGGGAAAGACCUAAAGAGUAAAGAACUUCUCAAAGUUGGAAAGAACAAUAAUAAUAAAAUUAAAUUAUAAACAAUCAAUCCUAUUAUUUAAAACCAAAAGAGAAAUUAAAGUAAAAGAAGGCAUUAGCUGACAAAUUAUUCUCCAUUAAUUAUUAACAAUUACAAAAUUUAAUCAGUUUGCUAUUCCUUUUUUUCUUUGUUCUUGUUUGUAGGGUUUCCUUUAAACAAUAAUAAUAUAUACAAUUUUCUAAGAACAAAUCAUAACCAAAAAAAAGAAAGAAAAAUUCUUUGCUAAAACUUAGACUUUAUUUCAAGUGGUCCAUAUUUCCUUAAUGCUUGUUUUGUGGAUUCUCUUUCAAAGUAGCAAUAAAUUAAUUAAUUAGGUUUUGGUUUUUUGUUAGACUUUCAAAAAGAUGUCACACAUCAUAUAAACAAUAUAAUAUACACACACACAUACACAUAUGCAUUAUUAAUUAAAUUAAUGUGAAAGCAAGAAAAGAUUAGUAUACCCUCUCCCCCCCCAAUUGUUGUUAUUAAUUUAAAGCCCCAAGAUUAUUUUAAUGAAAUAGGAUAGAUUAAAAAAAUCCAAUUUGAUCUUUUUAGUGGGCUCCAUGGGGGGUAUUGACACCUUCACCCAAUAGAAUGUUGUAAGCAAAAGUGAUUUCAAAAUUAAUAUAUUAUAUACAUAUUGAGAGUUAAAUUUACUCAUAGGGCAGUGACAUGUGAUUCCAUGUGAAGAGGGUCCUCCCUUGUUGCCCCAAGAACCCUAGGAUUCUUUUCAUUUAACCAUUUCAUUCCUAUUAGUUUUGUCUAAUUACUAUAACCUAAUCCUAAUCUAUCUUUACUAUAUUCUCUUUUGAUAAUUAUUUAAGUUUAGCUUAUUAGCAUUCGUUUUCUUUUUCCACUACUAUAUAUUUAAUAAUGUGUUUUCUCUCUCUCGUUUUUUACCUUAAGAGUUCAAACUUUCUUUUUAGAUAAUUUUUUAAAAUCCUUAUGGUCUAUAUGGAUCGAAAGAAAUAAGAGGAUAUUUAAUUUAACAGGAAAGAAAUAUCUCUACCGGUGUUAUGAGAAGAUAUCCAAGCUCUCACUGGCUUCUGGACUAGUCACUCUGCCCGUUUUCAGAAACUAUACACUCUGCUAGUAGCAUAACUUUAAACUUCAAUGCUUUUUAAUGCUUUCAUCGGGGCUUUGGGGUUUUGGGUCUCAUAGGCUUCUCUCUACCUUUUUUGUAUUCCUUACUUCUUGUACUGACUCAUAUUAUUAAUGAAACAGAAAUGAUGAGAGUGCUAAAGAGGUGUCCACAUGUACACCUAGUGGAGAUAUCUUGGUGCACCUACUGACCCAUAGUAUAUAUUUUUCAAAAAAAAAAAACUUUUUUAGACGUUUCAAAUAGUAAUACAUAAAUUUUUGGUUUUGUUUAAGCAAAAACUAUUUUAGUUAUUAAAUAUUUGUAAUUAUUAAAAUAUAAACAUAAAUAUUUAAUAAUAAAACAAAACUAAAAACUCAAUUUUCAUUUUCUCCACCUUACAUUAAAGAUAAAGGUAAGAUUUCUUCUAGUGUUUUGACGAUUCCUGUCUGUACAAUAAAUAAUUCUCUCUUCUUUUUUUUUUUAACUUUACGUGAAUUUUUUAUUUGUUUUUAAUUAAAAAUUAUUUUAGAAUUUUUUAAAUUUUCCCUAUACAUUCCAAGCUAAUAUAUAACUAGUUUAGAUAAAAAUAUUUUAGCAUUGUUCUUAAAAGGAGGUAAAAUAUAUAUAUAAUUAAUUAGGUUAUAGGUUAUAUAUAUAUAUAAAAUAAAAAUAUUGUUAUUUGAGCAAUUGGUUAUAUAUAUAUAUAUAUAGUUGUUUUUAGAGUUUGGAUAGAAUAGCUUUGUUUUUAAAAGUCAAUUUAUCUGAUAAGAUUUUCUUACAAAUUUUUUAUUUUGUAAAAAUUAUUAAAAAUUAAAGUCAAAAUGUAAAAACGCCUACUUGCAUAUAUAUAUAUAUAUAUAUAUAUAAACAACUAUUUGUUUGAUAAGGUUUAUUUUUUAGCUUUCUGUUUUUCUUCAUUUCUAAUCUACUUUAAUUUCAAUAUCACUUUUGAAAUUAUAGUCAAAGCACAACUAUAAAUUUUUAAAACCCUAUUUUUUUUCUGAAAAUAUUUUCUAUAUAUAUAUAAGUAAUUAUUUUAUAUAAAAAUGAGAUAUUUUGAAAUACAUUAAAAUAAGAUAAAAUAAUAAUUUUCUCUCAUCAACUCAACAACUAUUUAUUGCCUUAUAUAUUAUCAAGUAAUAGACACCAAUAGAUAUUUAUUUUUUUUCUUACAACUUUGUGUUUUAAGCAUGUUAGUUUAAAGAAUGAGUGAGAUUUUUCUUCAACUCUUACCAACUAUACACCCGUCCCAAACUAUAUCUAUGUGUUUAUCAUAAUCUGAUCGAUUCUUCCAAAUAGGUCAACAAUAGAUAAUAACUCCCCAACAUAUAUCCAACUCAACAACUUUAUUGUCCUUACUUGUUAAUUAGAUUCGUUUCAUGGAUGUGUAUAAUUACUUUUAUUUUAAUAAAGAUACAAUUUUAGACACAUAUAGAAUCAAAAUAAUAAAAGAAAAGAAAAGAAAAGAACUUAAAAAUAGAGAAAUCCAUAAGUAUAGUGAUAUAUAUUGUUAUUGAAAGAAACAAUUCAUCACUAGCUUCAACAACAAUUUAUGUCUAGGGAAAUUGCACCUCUCUAUAUAUAAAAUAAAAAAUUACAUCAGUUUUCAUGAUGGCUUAGCUACCUUCCCCAAACCCCUCCCCCACUAUGCAACAAAGGAACCCCUUCAAUUAAAUUAUAUUAUAUGUGUGGCCUUAUCUUUCUUAAAAACUUAGCACCAAACACCAAUUUAAAUAUAUUUUAUUCAUAUAUACUUUUAAAAUUUUCCUCUCUUUUCUUUCUAAAUUCCCCUUCAUCUUUUUCACCUUUAAUUUAAUUGUUAUCUCUUUCCCAUGUCCCACACCUUUUUUUUUUUUUUUCUUAUGUUCUACAAGAAAAAGUUGUCUCCUUUGACAUGAAAUUUUCAAUAAUUAUGUAAUUCCAUCUAUGACACUUAUUUAUCUCAUGUUAAGAUUUUCCCUUUACUUGUCAACAGGGUCAGAAAUCACUACCUUUUUCACUCAAAAAUCAAUCACGUUAGCUUGAUGUUAAGAAGAUUAUUGGUGAUAACUAUACAAAAAGAUAGUUUUUGUCCAGUAAUUUAUUUGGUUAACACACAAGUUUAAUUAGUCUCUUAACUUUUAUGUUUUAUAUAUAAUCUUAUUUUAGUCUUCAACAUGUCAAGUGCUUACAAUAGAUUCUUUAACUUUUAAUUUUGUACCAAAUACGUCAAUGAAUUUUUAUACCUAAUAUGCUUUAAAAAAAAUUGGAAAUAAAUUUAAUUAAAGUUUAUGUCUAAUCAAAUGAAAACUUAAAUUUUUAAUUUUGAAAAUUUUACCCUAAGCAGUAAAGUUUAGCUUUGUAAAUUAACAUUCUUUUUUAAAUAAACAUAUCAAAUAGAUUUCAUCCGUAAUUAAGUGCACUCUGCUAUUAAAAAAAAAACCAUAAAAGAAACCCAAUUGUAAAUUAACAUUUUCAUAGUUUCAUCCAUAUUUUAAUAAUAUAUUAUAGAAAAUUUUGUUUGAAUUGUAUAUAUAAAAGUACAAAACAGAACAUUGGGAGUUCCACCCCAUUUGCUACUUUUUUUUUUUUCUUGUUGAUUUAAUAUUAUAUAAUUAACUCUUAGAAUUGCUUUGGCUAAUGUGGUGAUAAUGGGAGGUGGGGUAUAAAGCUAAAAUGGCAACAAACAAGUAUAUGCCUUACAAGAAAACAUGAUGAUCAAAUGUUUACAUCUUAAUUAAUAAUAAACUCACACACACAUAGCUAUAGAUAUAGAUAGCAGUAAAUAAAUGAGGUUAUAAAGUAACUAAUAAUAUAUUAAAGUUAUAGAAAACUUAGUUACAAUUAUUAAAAUAAUGUCUAAAAUAUAUAAUUAAAUAGAAAAACAUAAAAAGGUUUAAUCAAAUUCUAAUGAGUUUUUUUUGUACCAAAUAUCUUGAGAUUGUUUAUGAUUGAUAAUUAUGUUUAAAAUAGUAGUUCUUCCAUUUUUUUAAAGUGAAAAAAUUGCCAUGUAGAGCAUGUAAUUUUCUUAAAAAAAAAUAUGUGGGUUAUAUAAAAUACACACAUAUAAGUUAUUUAAUAUUGCUUUCUUAAGAUCCUAAUUAUUGAUAAAAAUUUUCUUAGAAAAAAAUAUUUUAUCACGAGAAGUUGUGAGAAACAUAUAAAUUAAUUGGACAACAAAAGUUCUUUGUGGGUUUAAAGCAUACAGAAAUAAUUAGAAUAAUCAGAACAAAUUUGAUUUAGAAGAUGAAGCUACAGCUGAAACCAUCAAUCGAAUAAUUAAAAAUGAACAAAGCAACAAAUGAAAGUAAUUCACUUCUUGAUAUCAAAAAGAAAAACAAACCCUAAUUUCCCUUGGAUUCAACAACAAACUAAUUAACUUGAACGAAGAUCAUACAUACUCAAAGUAAACCUAAACCUUAUUUGUUAACAAUCAUGAGUAGCAAAUUAAGAACUAGAGAACCCAUUCAUAAAGAUGUUUAAUUUAUGUUUUUGAAAUGAAAUUUGUUUAAUUAAUUAGUAUUAUUUUCUUUAUAUAAUUUCUUUUGAGAGGUAGAGGUUUUAAAAAUUUUCAUUCAAAGUUAAAAUUAUAUCUAAAAACUAGAAAUAUUAUAAUAAAUAAUAAAAAAAUAUAUUAGUAAAACUAAGCUGAUCCAUUUUUCAAAGAAACAAAAUCAUUUCAUCAAAUGGGCCAUAGUUCUUACCAAUUUGAUGCAUAUUUUAUAGAGAAGUUUAUGGAGGUUUGAUUUUCUUUUUUCUUUAUCCAAUUGUUUUUCCCAAAUCAUCAAGACACAGAAAAUAAAAAUUAAAUUAGAAGAAAAAGAGAGGAAUUAAUUGAAUAUAAAGUUAAUUAACUCUCCUUCUUGUAUUUGCAUAGAACAAUUAAUUUAAGGGUUUUUUUUUUUCACACUGAAUAUUUAUAAUCAACACUAAGACAUGAAAUAUAUAGAGACUCAUCUCUUUCAUCUUUUAUAUCUUUAACUUCCUAAACCAUGGCUGCAAUAACAAAACAGCCACCAAUCUUAAAACAUUUUCUAACCUUUGUUUUUUUUUCCCAUCAGAAGCUUUAAAAUGACGGCCGGCCGCCGUGAGCCCAAGAAUAGGCCUCUUGGUUCAACUGCCCUCCGCCACCAUUCGGUAGUAAAUUUGGUGGUAAAUUGUACAGUGGAGUCAUAGCUGAUGGGUCCCCGACUCCGCCUCCGAUGCCUUGUGGUGAACCGUCGCCUGCGCCGCCACCGCCUGCCGAUGUGUGCCCUUGUGCUCCUACUCCGCCGCCUUCUUCUUCCUCUUCUAAGGGUAAUCUUUCGUAUGUUGCGUUGGAAAAUGUUGCAGCAAUCACCAUCACUGGGCCAGCAGCGGUGAGUGGCCCGACGACGCUGCCACCCACCACUUGCCCUUGUCCACCAGCCAAGUAGAUCGUUAGUCCGGUUGAGCCAGGUGGGGCUGGUCCAGGGAGGAAAGUUCCAGUUAAAGAAAGUAUCUCGAAUCGUCCCUGGAGGGCUAAGACUGCACCAGGCGCAGACGGUUGUCGGAGUGUGACAUUUGUAACCGUACCGCUACCACUAAGUACAGAAACACCUGUUAAUGAAAAUAUUUUUCUCUGAAGUCAAUCAUACAUGCCAGUUAUGGAUCACGAAUUCAUGUGAACUAAAUUAACCUAAUUUCAAAGUACAAACUCUGUGACUCAUGGAUAUAUAGAUAAUUAAAAUCAAUAAUUAAAUUCACCGCAACCUAUUAAUUAGCUUAAGCUUUUUCACCUCUCUGUCGCCGUCGAGCGAAUUGAGCAACGCUCUCGGCAAUAUCAGCUCCAUUAGAAAUCUCCAUGACAUGGCUUUUUAGGGCAUUAGGGCUAUCUCUAGUAACAAAGAUAGGUGGCUUAGGCUUAUUCUUGGAUCCCGGCGGUCGGCCACGGGGACGACGCGUUGGAACCUCAACUGCUCCUUCUUUAGGUUCAUCCCCACCGUUAUCCCUAUCGUCAUCGUCAUCACCACCACUGUGAACAGGACCACCGUUGUCGUUCAUGGAGAUUCCCAGAUCUGGUUUUCUCAUAGCAGAGGAGCUUGUUGAAGUAUGAUCAACUCCGGGAAGACCCAUCUGGCCGGAGGUCCACCACCGGUUUGCCAUCAUCAAAAAAUUCAGAUCUUUUUUUUUUUUUUCAGAUCUUGAAAAUUUUCAGAGUUUUAAAAGUUAGAAUUCUUUUAUAAAAAAAAAUAAUUUAUCUGCUGAAGAAGAAUUAAGAUGGUAUUGUGGGGUUGAAAGGGGGAAGAAGAAGAAGAAAUAAUAAUUAAAAAAAAGGAAAAAAAUAGAGAGAAGAAAGGAUUAAAUUAAUAAGUAGAGAGUAUUGGGAGGUGUAAAUUAAAUGGAAGGAUUAAGGAAAGGGGAGGUUGAAGUGAUGAUGAAGGGGAAGGAGAGGGAAAGAAAAGGCAAAGAGAUGCCUAGAGAGUUGAGAUAGACAAGAAAGUAUGUGAGGAGAGAGAAAGAGAGAAAUGGGGUUUUUUUAGAAAUGUUGAGGGUAAUGUGAGUGUUCUGUGUUCUUAUUUUAAUAUAUAUAUACAGCCACAUAUAUAUAUGUGUAUGUUUUUGGUCUCUUAUACAGUUGAAUAUGGGCUUCAGCUAGGUUAAUGACUUAAACAAUAUUUGAGGGGAAAAAAAAAGACAUUUCCCCAAAAGUUUUCCCAAAUUUUUUAAAUCAAGAGUUUUGAUCUACCAUUUGGGUGAAAUUACCAAAAUGAAACCUCACAUGUAGCUUAAGCUUGGAUUUCUUGCUCGAUCUCUCUCUCGUUUCGCUUGUUGAUCUCUCUUUCCUCUCUCUCACUCAGAAUCCAAUCUCUUUCUCUCACUCUAUAACACAAAAUUAUCGAGAUCAAAACUUGUGUGUGCAUGACAGAGAGAUAAAAAACACACAAAGAAGAAGAAAUUCUGCAACAUAAACCCACAAAAAAGAAAAGAAAAAGAGAAAAUGAAAACGAAGAAGAAAGAAAAAUAAAUUUAGGUAAGGUGGUCUAGACAUGUACUAUCAUUUUCUUUCUAAUUAAAUAUUCAUUUUCACAUAUUUCAAGUCUACAUGUGAGGAGCGCGUUAGAUCCAUCUUAAUUGAACGGUUAAAUUGAAUGAUGACUUUAAAAAAUACCGUCGAUCAUACUGAAACGAUGUGAUUGAAUAAUUUGUGAAUUUAAAUUAAAUGGGAAGUGGUUGGAAGUAGCAUGGGUGUGUGACAAAGUCAUUGCUACCUGCUUUCCUCUCUAACUCUAUUUGAAUAAAAAAAUGAAGAAAAGAUUGUGAAGAGGAAGAAGAAGAUGAAGAAGGGGGGAAGUGGGGAUGGUGAUUAAGAAUUCUAGGGUUUUAUUUGUGAGUGGGGUGGCAUGCGCUUAUGAUGGUGGGAUGCACGUCCUUGUCUACACCGACCCCACAUCAAAACAUACACAUAUACACAAUACACAACAAAACAUUACCCUAAAAAAUUAUAUUCAAAACAUCUAACUUUUUAAUACAAACCUUUCUUUUCCUAAUUGAACCCUGUCCAUAAAUAAAUCAAUAUAACAUUGUUAUUACCCAAUUUCUUUUUCCAUAUGUUUCAACUAUAUAUGAAACUUUCCCCUUUUUUCCCCCUCUCUAUGCCCAAUGUAAAUACACACAAUUCCAUGGUUUGGGUUAACGUGAAAUAUAUCAAUUAUUGUGUUAUGAUUGAUAUAUCUAUGUUUAUUAUUAUUCAUUAAUCUAUAUCCUUUUUCUUAAUUAAUAUAUUUGCAAUGAAUUUUAAUGGAUAAAAUUUAGUUGGGUGUGGAAUAAUCUAUCAAAAGUUUGAUUCUUUUAUUUUGAAUUUCUUUUUUUUUUUUGUAUUCAAUCAUCUAUUUAAUCUGAGAUUUUUUAAUUUAGAGUUGGAAUAUGAAAAUACAAGUUCAAUUAUUUGUAACUACUAAUACAGUAACGUUUUGAAUUUACAAAUAAAAAUAAAAAGAGAAGGAAAUGAAAAAAAAAGAAGAGCAAAAUCCAUUAAAAUAAAUCCUUUCGAAUUGAUAUAUAUUUAAUGUUUAUUAGCGAAUGUUUGUUAUAUCAAAUAUCAAUGAUACAUACAUCAUCUUUAUCGUAUAAUGAUACACACUAAUAAGAUAUAACGUUAUUAUAUGAACGUUACAAAAACCAAAUUACGUAACAAUAUCAUUAUAUUUGCAUAAUUAAAACCCAUGCUAGUACAUAAUUUGUAAAUACACAAAUAACAUAUUUUGUCAAAAUGACAAUGAUGUCAAAAUUGAUAAAUUUUCAAGGAUAAAAGUAUGAUUAAUGUAAAAAGAGAAAAACGAAACUGGUUAUUGGGAAGGAUUAAAUUAUGAUCAAACAAGAGACUUAAAUAAAUCUACAUAGGAGCGAGAGUAACACUUUUACUAUAAUGAUGAGGUAAAAUUUAUGAGAUGCAUGUCAAGUAAAAAAUAAAUAAAGUCUAAUAAAUCAUGGCUCAAUAUAAUAAGAUAGAAUUAAUUAUUAUAUGGUGGGUUCCUAAUACUGACAAGCCACCUUUGAAUAAAUAAAUUAUGGCAUGUCAAGACAAUGAAUCAUAACAUGAUUAAACAAUCCAUAUAGCAACCUUACAAUCUUUCUUUAAUUUAAAUUUAAAUGGUGUAGAAUUAAAAUUAGAUGGAUUGUUUUGUAGAAUUGGACAUUUUUCAUAAAACUUGGUGAAAAUUAAUGAAAGUUUUUAUAAUUAGUUGAUGAAACUCUGAUAUUAUGAUUUGGUUUUUCUACGAAGGUAAAUAUUUUUUGACAAUCACUUAAAAGAAUACUUUAUUGAUUGAUCUCAUAGAUAUAAAAUCAAAUUUUCUGUAUAAAUAAAGCCUUUAAAUUACUUUCAAUCUUGUACAAAUAUAUGUAUGUGAAUUUAGUAUAAUAUUGAAUAGGUUAAAAGAUAUAAUAUAAUUACAAAUUCUAAUUAGAUAUAUAUCAUUGUAAAGGUUCAAAGUAUUAAAACCAAAACUUUAAAUCUUAACCUUUAUUUUAAUUCACAUACCAAUACAUCUUCAAAGGCUCUAAAUUAGUCAACUAUUUGACAUUUUUACAUUUAAUUAAGAUUUAAGUUUAUUUAUUUACUAUUAAUUAUUAAGAUAUUUAAUUAUCAUUUUGGGAUACUAAAAUUUGAAGCCAACAUAUAUCAAUUGUGCAGUAAUCAUAUAUCAUACUGUUUUUAGAAUUAGUUGCGUUAUACUGCAUAUAUAAUUGACCCCUUUUGUUGGAGCUUAGAAAGGAUUUUUCAUAAUGGAUUAGGAAAACGUCUCAUUUUUAUAACUCAUCAAGUUGAUAAUCUAAUCAUUAAACUAUCUUCACAUAGUCUUUCCAAUAAACCAAUAACGUUUCUUAUCCAAGAAUUAUGAUAUCUCUACUCACCAUUUUAAAUUACAUAUAUUCUUUUUAUAUCACUCAAUUACAUGCAUUUUGACUAAUCUCACGACACAACUUGUUUGACUAUACGACAUUUAGAUUGUACAUAUACUUGUUUAAAUUAGUUGUUGGUUUAUUUAAAGAGGAAGAAAUAUCAUUGGUUCUUUUAUUUCUAAAAACAUAAAAAAAAAAGUCUAAAAAAUAAUGUUUUACGAAGAAAAAAAUAUUUUUGGUAUAUAUCUCUAUAAAUGGAAUAAUGAUAUUGUCCACUUUGAGACUUUGGUUUUGUUAUGAUAUUGCCUAGUUUGGAAAUAAUUCAAAAAAGACUUGAACCUUUAGAGAUAUUGAUGUCACUACUUAUAUAUUCGUAAUAUUUCUUCUUAAUUAUCUAGCUAGCGCAAUGUGAAACUUUUGAUCGUAUUUUCAACAAUUCUCCUGAUGAAUUAACAAAGUAGUCCUUUCAUAAACUACUCCUUAAAUAGUCAUGUCAACUCAUUGAGGAUAUUUAUUUUUGUAAUGGUAACUAUAUCAACUCCUCGUGAUCGGGACAUUGUAUAUAUGUUUAAUGCUCAACAAUGGAUAUUCACAUAUUGUGGUUGUGUCAUCGAAGGUUCAUUAAAAAAAAAUUUAUCCACUAAUAUGCUUUGGAGAAAACAAUGCAUGGAUUCACUAUCGAUUAACUAUGGUUAGAGUAUAACUCUAAUACCACUUGUUGAGGACCAACAAGACUCCAAACAUCUUUACGAAGAUAUGAUAUUAUCUAUUUUGAUAUGAACAUAACUUUCACGACUUUGAUUUUAAUCCCAAAAGCUUUAGAUUAACAUUUUUGAAGAUAGGUGCUCAUGUUUUGAUACUCAUGAUAAUCUGCUUAUUAAGCUAAUGUAGUACUUUAGUUGCAUUUUCAACCAUUAUGAAUAAUUAUAAAUUUAAUAUAUUUUCUUGUAAUUUAAACUUAAUAUAUAUGUGUGUAUAUAUAUGGCGUAUGUAUAUUCGUAUUUACACAUAACGAGAGUUCUUGGUAUGUUUGCUGCCAUUUUUUACCUAUACUUUGUCACCAAAAUAACAACAUUGUUAUUUUAUGGCAAUAACAAAGUUCACUAAAAAUCAUGAAAUUUCAAAAUUACAAAUUACUGUUAAUUGUUAAAUCUACAUAAUAUGUUAAACAUAAAAUUUUAUCUUAUGUUUUGAAAUCAAAUCUCUUGAAAAUUUCACUAUUUUGGAUGUAUCUUCUUUUCAAAUUCUUAAAUUUAGAUUGUUCAUGUCACACAUAUUAUUAGACCAAAAGUAGGGUACUUUUCCGUAAUGAAAUAAUGCUUCCCCUUAUAAUAUUCUAAGUACUAUUACUAUAAAAGACGAAGUAUAUAUAUACAUAAUAUAUGUUAUUAUAUAUAAGGGUGAAUAAUAUUAAAAGAAUUGUUAGGGUGAUCUCCACUAAUUAAAUUCUUACAUAUAGCCACUCAAAACCACAUCUAAGAUUCUAAAUAAUAUCAAUAUAUCAUGAGACCAAUAACUAGCUUUGUUGGGAUUAAAAAGGUGAUGAAAGCUUAAAAUUAUAAUAUUAUUUUGGAGAUAUAUAUACAUAAUUGAUUAACUUAUAUUCAUUCAGCCUAAUUAAUUAAUAUUUCACCACUAAGUCUAACCAAGUUUUAGGCUUAUUAUAGCCUUGGUGAAUAAGAUUAAAAUAUCUUUUAAAUGUCAACUUUAAAUAUAUUUUAGUUUUAUAAAACUAGCCUUUAACAAAGUCCUUUUAUUUUUCACUAUCAUUUUAUUUUUAUAUUUUUAUAUGUAAGAAAGUGACCUUUCUUUGCUAACUUUUUCUUUUUUUUAAAAAAAAAAAAUUAAGCAUAAACAAUAAAUUAAAACAUACUAUUUUUAUGGUAGACCCACUUAAUAACUAUUUUUAUUAGUAUUUUAAAUUAAACAUAUUUCUUUUCAAUUUUCUUAGAUAGGAGAAUUGAAUUUUUAGUUGAAUCUAAAAAAAUAUAGACAGAUUUUUAAAUUUUGUUUUAAAAAUUUCCUUUGGUUUUUUAAAAAUAUUGAUAAAAGUUAGAUAACAAAACAAAAAAAAAUUAAAAUAAAAGAGAUAUAAUCAUAGGUUUAAUUUUAAAAAACUCAUCAUAUAGUGAUAAAAGUUUAAAAAACUUAUCACCAUAUAUUUACAAAAUGAAGGUUUAGUUUUCUAAUUUUUUUUUAUUUUUGAAAUAAGUAUUUGUUUUUUAAAAAAGUUUUUUACCCAUUAUUUUCAUAAAUACUUAAAAAAAAUUGUCAAGAAAAGUAAUUUUUAGUAGUGUCUUUAUAAUAUGUUUAAUUUUAUAAAAUAAAACAAAAAGAAAUUAAAAGGUAAUGAGAGUACUCAUUCUAAAAAGAUGGAAUUGACACUAUUUGAUUUCUAAUAUUUGGAAGAUACAUUUUAAUCUUGAAGUAUGGAAAAUUAAUUGUCCUAAAUAAUUAUUGAGAUUAUUGUGUUUAGCUCUUAACUAAUUAGUUGGCUAGUAGAAAAAUGAUGAUGUUGGAAGUAACAUAAUGAUUUAUAUACAACUAUUUUGAUGACUUAAUUCAUUUAUUAUAAUGUUUUUAAUUUAUUUGGUUAACCUAAGUUUUUUUCCACUCAUUUUUCUCUCACUACUAUAUAAGUGUUAUAAUUACUACUACAUAUUAGUGUUGUAAUUACUAGAUCUCUUUUUUUAGUACAGUAAUUAUAUGACAGAGAAUUGAACUUUCAACCUUGUAGAGAUGAAAGUCAUGUUACUGUUCUUUGAAAAGAGUGAAGAUUGUCAAAUCAUCGGUCACAGUAUAUGAUCAUUUAUCGAUUUUGGUUGGACCCAAAUCAUUCCUAGACUUCACCCAUAACAUAAUGGAAAUGUCGUUUUUCCUCGUAUCAACGUCAAACUUGUGAAAAUGUGAAAAUAUCGAAAUGUUAAUUAAAGUUUAAUAUCACAUCAACAAUAAGUACUAACUUAAACAUCAAAACUAUGAGAGGUUUCAUCACUUAAUUUUUCUUUUUCCUUUGUUCUUGAAAUCCAUAGUUAAAGAAACUGACCAAGAUCUAAAGUAAAAAAAAUGAUACAAGGCAUAAUUAUAAUUUAAAUGAAAAAUUGUAAAAAUCAACCCUAAACUAUCAUUACUAGUAGCAAUUACACUCUCAAACUUUUAAUAGUAAUAAUUGAGCCCAUGAUUAAGCUUCUAGAAAUGUUAAAAUUGGGUUCUUAAGCCUAUAACAAUCGUAAAAAACAAACUCACAAAUGAUAAAAAUUAAAUUCUCAAACUUAUAGGGUAUACAAUUGUGUAAGUUUAAUGGUUCAAUUUUAAAAUUUGAAUCAAUAUAACUUAAUUUCUAAUUUUAAAAGUUUAAGAAUAUAAUUUGAUUAUUUGACAAGUGUCAUUAAAUAAUUUACUACUUUAUUAAAUAUUUAUUGUGUGAACGUGACACAAAUUCUUAUAGCCGCUUAGGUGAUCAACAAUAAACGGAGGUAUUAUGAAAGUAGUCGAAAUUUUCUUAUUUUAGGGUUGAUUUUUGCCCUCAGCUCUAAUGGGCAAAUAUCAAACAAAAAUUUAUUAGAAAGACUACGAUAAGCGACAAACUAAGAAUAAGAUAUGUUAAAGCGUGUCAGACCGUCUUUAUUUGUUCUGAUAUUUUAUAACGUAUGAAAUAUAUUUAUAUUUUAGAUAUGUUUGUACUUUUUUGUUUCACGUUUUGAUGAAUGGAUGGUUUUGUCACGUUUGCAAAAGUAAAAAGUUUGAGGUAUGAAUGAAAUUUGUAAAAUUUAUUUGACCACAUCUAUGAAAGGCAAAACCUUUAUUAAUAUGGACAUAUUUUCAUAUUCUUUUAAAAAAGAAAAAGAAAACACGUUUUGCAAUUUCCCGUUUGUUUAGCUAAUUUAUAUUUUUGGCCAAAUAUUUUCUUCUACUGUUAACCAUGGAUUACGCCAAAAAUUCUCCCACUUCGCCUUCUGUUUCUGCAAGCAAUCGGCUAUCAGGUACGAAGAUCAUCGCUCUCGUAAUCGCUAUCUAUAAAUUUCUCUCUCACUCAAACAACCCAGAUCGUUUUUUCUCUCUUUCCUCUUUUCAUUGCACUUUUUUCAGAGGGUUUUUGGUUUGUUGUUGAAGAAUACAGAUGGGUUUUGAUAGGUUUUGUUCAUCUUUGCUUUCUGUCAUUUCUUGUUGUUUUAAUUUUAAGUUUAUGCGAACAAAUAGAGAAAAAGAGACUGAUGGGAAGGAUUUGGGUUGGUUUUUUUAUGUUUAAUUUUUGUCAGAUUGUCGAUUUUUUUGCUCUUGAAUUUCUGGGUGGAAUGUUACUUUCAGAUUGUUGUGUUCUGGGUCUUUGAUGAUAUAUUCAUUUAUAUUUUUGCACGAUUUAUCGGUGAUUGAUGUUGCAUGUUCAAUCUGUUUUGAGCUGAACAUUAUUAUGUCAUUUAUAAUGUAGGAUGACUAGUUUCAAAUUCUGGUGUUGAUUGAAAUCUUGGUUGGAUUUCUUCGUUUUGGAUUUCAUCUGACGUAUUCAACUGUCUAAUCUGCUUGAAAAGUUUGAUUAAGGAUGCUUUUAACAAUUAAUUAGUUCAAUUUGGGGAUUUAGAGAUAAGGUUUUAAAUUUUAAUAGUAAUUAAGUUUUCAAUUUGGAGAUUGAACCUUGAAUGUUGGAUCCUUCACUUUGAUAGCCAUUUAUCAUGACUGGGUGAAGUUUAUGCUUACCCUUUAAUCCUACACUUCUAAGAAGCACGCACACUUUAGUUUUGCCUAGUGUGUUCGUGUUUGACACGUGUCGGGCACUUGGGACACUACAACACUUGGUGGAUACCUAUCAGACACUCGUUAGUGGAACAAAUGUGUUAGACAGACAUAGAACACUAGUUGAGUAGACUAAAAAGACACAUAUAUAACAAUAAUGAUAAUUUUUAAAAAUGAAUAUUUUAAUAAACGUAUCCUUUAAUAAACGAAUAUUUUAGUAAACGUAUCCUUGUCGUGUCAUGUUUUAGAUUUUUAAAAAUGUCAUGUCGCUGUGUUCACGUUGUGUCAUAUCCGUGUCCAUGCUUCUUAGCUUCUCUUUGAUUAGAGUAAGAAAUGUUAAGUUGAUUAACUCUUAAAAUGAGGUAGUAGUAUUUUAGAAAUAAAGAUAGGAAAGAACGAAGUGAACUUUCAUAAGCUACUCUGACUCCUAUUAGGAAGCAGGAUGCUUGCUCAAGUGGAAACUAAAUCUACCCAAGGGAUCAAAUUUGUAGUUUGUCCUUUUAUGUUUGCUACUGAAGAUCCUUUGGUCUAGUCUAAUCAUUAGGCUUGAUAAGUAUCAUCCUUUACAUUUGUCGAUAACAAUUUAGCUUUUCUAUUGGGUUAUAAUGAUUGCUCUGGUUAGGGUCUGCUGUCUUUGGUUUUCAGGGGUGUGUGCUAUUUUUGUAGAUUUUGUGGGGGAAGCAGAAUAUUAGGGUUUUUAGAGCCAAGAGGGACUUUAUUGAGAUUUCGUCUCCAUUCGUUUUCAUGUUUCUUUGUGGACUUCGGUUUCAAAUGUUUUUGUAAUUAUUCUAUAGGUGUUAUUUUGCAUAUUUGGAUUUAUCCUUUUCUAUAGAGGUUGCUCCUUCCUUUUGUGGGCUAGUUUUUUGCAUGCUUUUAUAUUCUCCCAUUUUUUUCUCAAUGAAAGGUUAUUCUCGUCAUAUAUAUUAUAUAUGAAAUGUUUGAUUUGGUGUUUGAAUUUGAGAACUUAUAGGUUUGGAUAUACUAAAGAGACAAUUGAAACUCUUGAUACUAAUGAUUGGAUUCAUGAUGCAAAAAUAAUAUUGGAAUGAAAUAUUGGUGGUUUCUAAAUGCUUUAAAUCUUUAACGUGGCUUUUAAACUCUAUAUUUCACUCAUUAAGCAAGUUGAGAGAGCUCUAUUAUGAUGAUCAGGAAGCAUACUCCCAUGAAACAUCAGAUCAAGUUUUUUGGACAUAAUAUCAAAGAAUAUUGUCAAUGCCACAUUCUUUUUUUCCAUUUUUUCUGUCCUUCAUUGAUUUUCAUUCAUAAAGUUUCAUUAAGCAGCUUUUUUUCAUCAGUAUGUCGUGUUAUAACAACUUGGGCUCAUAUAUGAGAAUGUCAUCAUCAAUUGCUAACAUCUUCUUAUUGUUUUUUACAUGAAACAAACUUUCCACUGAUCUGAUGAAAAGACACUAGAGCUCAAAAGAUACAAACUCCAAGAAAGCAGUAGAAACGAAAAAUUACAAAGGAAAUAGAAAUGCAUUCCAGUUAAGAUGUGUCUUAAAGAGAGCACUCAGUUGCUAACUUGAUUCAGGGUUUCCAUAUCAAAUUUUCAUACUUAGACCUCAUCUUCAUUCUCAUUAUGUGCAAUGCUAUUCAUUGUAUUUUCUUAAGUAUUUUUUCAUCUUUUCAUCUUUUACUCAUUUGUGAACUUUUACCAAUAGUGUAACUAGUUACAUGUGAUUGCAAUAAUGUUAAAUACAAUACAUUUUAACUUGCUAGCAUAUUGAUUUGUUUAGGUAACACUGGAAAUUUACACUCAUUGGAAUGCUUCCCCAGUCAUAGAGGGAAGAGAAUGGUUAGCGAUAGUAUUCAUUCAGCUUUGGCAUGUGAUGACAUCCUCACCGAAAUCCUCCUUCGUUUGCCAGAGAAAUCUAUUUUCAAACUUAUUCUCGUGUCCAAAAGAUGGCUAUCCUUGAUUUGUAAUUUUUCCUUUCAUCGUAGUUAUGAAAAGCAAUGGGGUGCACACACUCGCCUUUUUGGCUUUUUUGUAUGCAAUUUUCUUUACAUUGACAGACCACAAGAUGGGGUGAGGCGACCCCGGUCUGAGCCAGCUCUACCUCUACUUUCAACUUGUCAAGAGAGUGAUGAUUUAGUAUCAUCUGGAAUCUUAAGGAAACUUGGCUAUUUUAUUGACUACUCUGAUGGGCUUCUUCUCUGUGGUCGUCACCCUAAACAUUAUUAUGUCUGGGAUUCUGUCACCAAGUACCGACGCCAACUUCCUCAACCUCAAAAGCACUACAAAUAUCUAUGUACCGCAUUCAUUACAGAAGACCCCGGCUUAGAUUGUGGAGAUAUUGUGUAUAGAGUUGUUCGAGCAAACUGUGAAUGCAGAGUUGAUGUAAUUAACACCAUUUCUAUAGAGACUUUCUCCUCUCGGACUUGGACAUGGAAGCAAUCCACUCUUGUUUGUUCUUCAGAUUUUGCUUUGAGCCCGUGGACAGUAGGCACUGUGAUUAAAGGAGUUAUCCACUGGUUUGGAACAUAUCGAAGUCUAGCGAUUUAUGAUCCCGGAUUCGGAGAAAGGCGCAUAACUUCAAUCAAGCUACCGACUGGUAAGCUGACUCAGGACUACGAGGACUCCAUUUUAGGAGUGUCAUCGGAUGGGCUUUUGCAGUAUGGUCAAAGUGGGAAGCUUGGAUUGGAAACAUGGGUUCUCUACAAGGAACAUGAUGAUUCCUCAUCAUCCUACACCAUGGAAUUGGACACUCAUUAUGAGUACCGGUGGAUGCUACGACACAAAUUAAGCUACAAAGACCUGUGGAAGCAGAACCCGAAUUCAGGUCUUCGCUCUAAAGAAACUCAAAUAUUAUCGUUUAUUCGUCGAAACUCCGACUCUGUUUUCAUUAGGUUGGGAACAAGCAUCUACCAAUGUAACAUCAAAAGCAAAACACUGGAAGUGACUCCUUACCAUCAUGGUGAUUUUUCUAUUCCAUGGGAUUUUUGUAAAGUAGUGCCUUACUUUCAAAAGAUUUGGCCCCAAUCCCCUUUCCCUACCUCCCCAAACACAGUUAAGCAGCUACUAUGACUAUGAGAUGCCUGUUCUGUUGCCAUUUCUUCUUUUGUUAAUGAUGCUUGGGAGGUUGUCUCUUUUUGUUUGUAGAUAAUGACACUUCCCUUGCUCCAUUAUUCUAGUAGCCAUUUUUGUUUUAGUUUUAAGUUCUUAAGAAAUUAUGCUUAUUUACUAAAUUUCAUUUUCUUAUUUCUUAUGUGUACUUUUAGACUCGUUUCUUAAGUUGAGUAGUUUUAAAAGCUAUAUCUAUAUAAGGAAAAUGGUAUGUGUUUUAAAAGCUAUAUCUAUAUAAGGAAAAUGGUAUGUAUGACCCAUUUUGAUGAGAUUCAUUUUUGAGGACCCAAAUGAAAAACGUCCUACCUUCUAAAAUCUAAGAUUUUGUACCUCUUCAAGCAAUUUUUCCAACUUACCUCAAUUUUAUUUUUGCCUCUUCCUCCAUUACCUUUUCUUUCUUUUUCUUCCUCUCUCUCUCCUCUUCUUCUGCUCCUCCCCCUCUCGCGAGCGCUCAAAUGAGGGAAAUUAUGCCUAGAUUUGGAGGUGUUGCAGAGGAGAGCGAUUUGAGAGCAAAGAAAACAAGGUGAGAUUAGUCAUUCCCCAUGCAGUCGAGGGCUUUGAAGAAGGAAGAGCAAAUCGAUAAUUUCACAUAUGCAUGACAUCAGCAAAAGGUUGUCGAAAAGGUCGAUUAGCUGCUCAUGAUUUUUGAAAAGUGGGGCAUUUUUGGUUUUUGAAUGGUUAACAAUUCAAUUUUUUCCUAUAUAAAGGUUGUAGUUUCAAAAUGCUUCUUGUUUCUUAAAUUUGGAAAAAAUAUUUUUCAAAGGCAAAUAAAGUGCCACUAACAUAGUAAUAAAACGUCACACCAUGGUUUUGUUUAUUUAUUAUUAAGAUAAGUAUAAUGAGAAGCCAUUCAAAUUAUGAAUAUAACAACAUUUUAAAAAAAUUGUAAAUAUGACAAAGUCUAUGAAAAAUAUAUUUUUAUUGUUGAUAGACUCUUGUUAUUACCAUUUGCAAUUUAGUUUAUCCGUGAUAGACUCCGACAAACUUACUAUAGUUGCAAUUUUUUUAUAAAAAUAUUGCUAUAUACGUUAAUAUUUUAAAUUUAAGUGCUAUAUUUGCAAUUUUCUCUUAUUAAUUGGGUGAGUGAUUAAUGCGGUAAAAUUCUAAAUCUCAAAAUGAAAUUAUUUAAUUUUUUGGUUGUUAUUUGUAUAUGUGAUUAGAUUAUUACAAGUGUCAACCGCAUUAAAGUUUGAAUGAGAUUCGAAUAUUUUUCAUUAUAAUUGUGGGAGACAACAAUGAACUGAUUCAAAUUAUGAAUGGAUGUAAAUCGUAAGUCUGGGUGUAACGAUAAUCAUGGAUGUAUGAAAAUGAAAUUUCAAAUUUAGGUGUGACAUUUUGAGAAAUUAUAAUAAAAAUAUUGCUUUUGGAUCGAAGGGUGAGGAUGAAGGGUUGAUUUAUGGGAAAGUCAGUGUAGCAUUUGGCUCAGCAGAGACAUCUAAAUUCAUUUCUGUUGAGAGCGAGAGAAAAGAGAGACUUGGUAGCCAUAAAUUGGCGCGAAUUUAACGGGACUACCGAACUUACCGGUCUUUAUGAACAAUGUCACUCCCACAUUCCAUCCCAUCCACAUUCACUACCCCUCUCUCUCUAAAGCACAUAGUUUUUUUUUUCUUUCUCACAUCUCAAUACCUUCUUUUCCUUCAUUUUCUUCAUCCACUUCCUCCCCCCAAUGUCUCUUUUCUGCAUUUUCUUCCAUUACACUCCGACCCAUCUCCCAUUUUCUUCCAUUCCUUGCUUUCCCAUGUGAAUUUAGUCAUGAUUUUUGUCAAAUGGGCCAUUUUGGGUCAUUCUAGUUUUGAUCAAGGUGAUGUUUUCUUUAGCCCUUGUGUCUUUGGUAUGGUGUAUGAGUUAGGCAGCUGAAGUGUUUGAAGAAAGUACCCAAUCGUCAACAGGCUUCAGAUUGCAGCAUUAGAAAUGGUUGGUGUACUGCCAUCAUAUAUCUUGAUUUAAUCACACACACACAAAAAAAAAAGAAGUUCUAAACUAUAGCUUUUAUGUCUGGCUGUAAUAUUCAUUUGCUAGAUCAAAGGGGGCUAAGGAAUCACAAAAGAUGUAUUGCAUUGUGAUCUGAUGCUGCUGAUUAGAUUGAUAGCUGAAAAUGUCUUUUAAUUGAUUUCUGUUCAUAAUCUUCAAAUGGCCCUUGAAAUGAUGCAUGAUAAUAAAAAUGUGGGAAGUGAAUGACUGUAAGUGAUGAUUUUCUGCUCAUAGAGAUAUGUAUUGGGAAAGAUUUAGAAUUCAUUGUCUAUGUUGGAAUGUAAAUCUAAGGCUUAUGAUGGGGUGGGAGGAUGAGCAUUAGCAGGUGCAAAGUCGAUCAAUAUCCCCUAAUAACUGGGCAUUUUCAUCAAAGGGUCGAGAUUUUUCAGUACUAUGGAUGCUUGCUGUCAUAUAACUUUCCUAGUAAAUAUUUAUCUCUUGGGAUCUUUCUUUAGGAUAUCAGUUAGAAGCAAGUUCAAACCAAUCGUGUUUCCAUGAAAAAUGGAACAUAUAGAGAGCUUAAGAACAGUUGAGUUUGUGCUGGACUCCCCCCUUCUAUUGGGAGAAGAAUUGUAAUAAGCAAAGUUAUUUUGCUUUGGAAAGAAGUUACUGUUUCAAAAUAAUCCCUGGAUUCCCUUUUCAUAAUUUCUAUAGCUUCUUGGUAAGGAUGUGUAUACUUUUCAUAAAUGUGCUUCUUCAGACGUAAGUAUUAUUUCUUUUUAAAAAUAGUGCAAAUGUGAUAGUUUCUGAAUUAAGUUUUUUUUUCCAAAAUAUGCAGGGUACUCCAGUUAACAUUAUUGUAGGUUCUCAUGUCUGGAUUGAAGAUCCAGAAGAUGCUUGGCUUGAUGGACAGGUGUCCAAGAUUACAGGACAGGAAGCUGAGAUCGAAGCCAGCAAUGGAAAAAAAGUAGGCAAAGACCUUUUCUUUCUUUCAUAUUAUCAUUAAAGUUUUGCUAAAAGAAGAUUAUUUAUAGGAAGUUCAGAAGUCAGGAUAUAGAUAUAUAUUUUUGAACAAGAAACAAGAUAUACAAGAAUCCUUGCAUUUUCUCAAUAUAGCUACAGUUAAAUUACAAUUUUUUUGACUCAGAUGUUCCUUACGGUCUCUCUUAGAAACACGGCUUCACCAUUUAUCUCAACAAAUAUUAAUUUGUGUAUGCUAUUUGGCAUCUUAGGUUGUUGCAAAAUUAUCCAAAAUAUACCCCAAAGAUAUGGAAGCUCCAGCUGGUGGCGUUGAUGACAUGACAAAGCUAUCUUACUUGCAUGAGCCUGGAGUUCUACAAAAUUUAAAAAUACGAUACGAACUCAAUGAAAUCUAUGUAAAUUUUCACCUUUCAUAUUGUAACUAUCACUCUGUUGAAGAAAAGAAGGAUAUCGUAUAAUCUUCCUUCUUAUUGCAGACAUACACUGGUAAUAUUCUUAUUGCUAUUAAUCCAUUCCAAAGACUGCCUCAUCUUUACGAUGGUCACAUGAUGCAACAAUACAAAGGAGCACCAUUUGGAGAACUGAGUCCUCAUGUUUUUGCUGUUGCUGAUGUUGCAUACAGGUUUAAUUUCAACAUUUUAAUCUUAAAGAAAUUCUACAUACUGACAAUUAACAUUUAUACUAAAACAGGGCAAUGAUUAAUGAGGGUAAAAGCAAUUCAAUUCUAGUCAGUGGUGAAAGUGGAGCAGGGAAAACUGAAACCACAAAAAUGCUCAUGAGGUACCUUGCAUUUUUAGGAGGCCGGGCGGCCACUGAAGGACGAACAGUUGAGCAACAAGUGCUUGAGGUAUGAUAAAUUAGAACUUCAAUAUAAAACCACUAUUUUCUCCAAAACAGCAAGACACGUUUUAAGCUAUGUUUUCUUCCCUCAAAUAUUAUAUAUAGUUAACUUCUGAUUCAAGUCUCCUGGUAUUUUCUUCCUUUGACUUGAUUUACAGUCAAAUCCAGUGCUCGAAGCUUUUGGAAAUGCUAAAACUGUCAGAAAUAACAAUUCCAGGUAAAAUAUGUGGAGGAUUGAAAGUGUUUUUAUAUAAAAUGGUAGUGUUUGGUUAACACUUAAAAAUAUGCUUUUAACUUAUUAAAAGCAUUUUCUAAAAGUUUAGUUGAGAAAUUCUAGAACUUGAUAAAAAGCACUGCUUUUAGUGAAACAUUUAAUUACUUUUCUUUCGGAAGUGCUUAAAAAGAGUGUUUCAAUCAGAUUUCUUUUUCUAAACAAACCUUUCCACAUUCCCAGAAGUUGGAAAUUCAUUUCCCCUGGCAGUUCAAAGUACAUUCAUUAACUUUACUUCAUUUAAUGCAUGCAAUUUCCUCAUGAAAAUUUAUUCCUAAAAACUAAUAAAAGAAGCAAAUUUUCAUUUCUCAAAUUGUUCCUGAGAAUUAUUUUCUCCAUACAGUCGCUUUGGUAAAUUCGUUGAAAUCCAGUUUGACAAGCAUGGGAGAAUCUCAGGAGCAGCUAUCCGAACUUACCUCCUCGAGAGAUCUCGUGUUUGCCAAGUUUCUGAUCCUGAGCGCAAUUAUCAUUGCUUUUACCUCCUUUGUGCUGCACCUCAGGAGGUAUUCAGUAGUUUCUUAAACUAAGAAUGUUACAUCGUUUAGGACACAUGAUCGUGGAAUUGCCACAGUCCUGGUUUGUGAAUCAGAUUGUUUGUGAUAUUAACAGGAAAUUGAAAAAUACAAGUUGGGAAAUCCCAGGUCAUUUCAUUAUCUAAAUCAAUCAAAUUGCUAUGAGCUGGUUGAUGUAAGUGAUGCUCAUGACUAUCUUGCCACUAGAAGAGCUAUGGAUGUAGUUGGAAUAAGUGCGAAGGAGCAGGUAUGGUAUCUGCUGCAGCUUGUAACUAUUUCCUAAUUUUGAGCAUAGUUAAUCGUCUUCUUAUGUCUUUCCUCUCCUCUCUUUACUCUGACAGGAAGCAAUCUUUAGGGUUGUUGCUGCAAUUCUUCAUCUUGGAAACAUUGUAUUUACUAAGGGAAAAGAUGUUGAUUCAUCAAUUCCAAAAGAUGACAAGGCUAAGUUCCAUCUUAAAAUGACUUCAGAGCUUCUCAUGUAUUGAUCCUACAUUAAAAUGGUGCUUAUGAUUACAUCUUUUUAUAUUACUGGUAUUCAUCUAACCGCACUUUAUCAGGUGUGAUAAUGCUGGCCUUGAAGAUGCAUUAUGCAAGCGUGUCAUGAUCACCCCUGAAGAAGUGAUAAAACGUAGCUUGGAUCCUCAAAGUGCAGCUGUUAGUCGUGAUGGUUUGGCUAAAACUAUAUAUUCUCGACUAUUUGACUGGUAAGUUCCCCACUUUUAAAAGAUGUCAUUCGCUUUAAUGGCUAAUAAUUGAACUACACCCUGAAACUACUAUACAAGAUUGAAACUAGAAAACAAUACCAAGUUCCAUACGGUGUCUAAAUGUAUUUUAUCUCCCAUGCAGGCUGGUUGAUAAAAUUAAUGUCUCAAUUGGACAAGAUCCUAAAUCGAAGUCCCUGAUUGGGGUCCUUGAUAUCUAUGGUUUUGAAAGCUUCAAAGCUAACAGGUAAGGAAUAAUGGUUGUAAGUCUGGAUAUUGGUUCAAGUUUUCCAAUCGACCCAUAUAUCAAAAUCAAAGAGAUAAAAGAAAAACAAGCACAUGUAAGCAUUAGAGGCUACUGGUUGAUGGAGUGAAUUACAUAAGUUUAAUUGGAGUUCCAUAAUUAGCUUAGUUUGUUUCUUGUAACUUAGCAUUACUGUGAAAUUUUGUUCUCAUCAAAUGUCUUCCAACAAGCUCUUUUCAUGUAACUCGUAGAUUCUUCGUGUGAUUUUAAUCGAUAAAUACGGCCACGUUAUUUGUUAUUUAUCAUGGUCAUGUAUUAUUCACUGAAUUAUGUGCAUGUUCAUGUGCUUAUAUCUGUGUAAGCCUUGUAUUUGUACCUUUGGAAAUUCUUGUAACUUAAUUUCAGCAUAUCAUGCUGUGCAGUUUUGAGCAGUUCUGCAUUAACUUCACAAACGAGAAGUUACAGCAACAUUUCAAUCAGGUGACUCUCAGAAAUCAUUACACCAUUUAAGCACUCUUAACUUGCCUUUCAUUAAUUAAUAUACAUAUGUUUUUUGGAUGUCCAGCACGUUUUUAAAAUGGAACAAGAAGAAUAUACAAAAGAAGAGAUUGAUUGGAGUUACAUUGAGUUUGUCGACAACCAAGAUGUGUUAGAUCUUAUUGAAAAGGUUAGAUAUAUAUAUUCAUUUUUUCAUUAUUCUUAUCCAUUCAACAUGGUAGUGUAUGCAAAUGGAUGUACACAUAUCUUUAUGUAUAUAUUGUUCAAAAUGGCCAGUUCAUAAAUAUAUAUACAUCCGAUCAGCAAUAGGUGAUUAACAUAAUAAAUGGUCCAUCAAUAAUAUUGAUUAGACCGUUGAUUGGUUCUACUGGUAUUAAACCACAACACCAGAUAGACAAGUAGUGAAACAAAGAAAUCUACCAGUGCUUUGUGACCAAACCUGAUUAUUGUAAAUGGUUCCUUGAACAUUUCACCAUUAUCAGAUGGAAUAAAAAAGAGCAUUAAAAGGUUACAUUGAUGACCAUUUCAAUUUAACUUAUAUGAAAAAGUCUGUUCAGGUGAUUAAAACCUCAUAUGACCAUUGUUGAAACAUCUCUUUAUAGUUUUCUUUUUUCCAAAGUUCAACGGAGAUUCAAACCUCAAUCAAGGACAUGCUAGUUGAGUUAUGCACGUGUCGGCAAUAUCCCUUUGUAGCCAUGACUAUGGUUUUUAUAUAUUCUUAUAAUCAAAUCUUGUACAGUAAUAUUAUCAUACCUUUCUGAAGUUGGUUGUGGUAUCUUUAUUUAACAGAAACCUGGUGGAAUUGUGGCUCUCCUUGAUGAAGCUUGGUAAGUUUUUGUAAUUCAAUUAAUUCUCUAAAAUGUCACUUUUCACUGAGACUGACCAUUAUCAGGUAGCGAAUUUCUUGUCAUUAUACAAUUCUUAAAGAAGUUGUAGCUUAUGUGUAUUUUGUUCAACACUUCAAUUUUUCUAUGUAGUUCUAUCAAUUUUAACACGUAAGUUGUGCUUUUUCAUCUUUUUUUCAGCAUGUUUCCAAAGUCCACACAUGAGACAUUUGCUAACAAACUCUAUCAGACUUUCAAAGCACAUAAGCGGUUUAUAAAGCCAAAACUUUCUCGAACAGAUUUUACCAUUGCUCAUUAUGCUGGAGAGGUAAUAUGAACUCCAAGGCAUAAUUUUGUUCAUGGCAGGGAAGAUUCUUACGCUUACAAUUUAUGUAUUUGUUAUCAGGUUUUGUAUCAAUCUGAUCAGUUUUUGGACAAAAACAAAGAUUAUGUAGUUCCUGAAUAUCAGGAUUUGUUGGGUGCAUCCAAAUGUCCAUUUGUUGCUGGUCUUUUCCCCCCUCUAAAAGAAGAAUCUGCAAAAUCUUCCAAGUUUUCUUCAAUUGGAUCUCGCUUUAAGGUAGUUUUCUCUCAAUCAUCAAAAUAAUUUCUGUGAUAAGAACAAACAAUGAAUUCAAACCCCACAUAAAAAGGCAUUAGGAUGAAACUUCUUUUUAUCAAUCAGUUACUGUAUCUGAAUGUAACAUCCUAACUUGCCUUCUUGGAAAGGAAGAUAUUUUUUUGUGUUGAGAGAUCAUAACCUUAAGUACUGGAUCGUGUGUUUGCAGCUACAACUACAACAGUUAAUGGAGACACUAAAUUCCACAGAACCUCACUACAUCAGAUGUGUGAAGCCAAACAACCUCUUGAAACCUGCCAUAUUUGAGAAUGUCAACAUUAUGCAACAACUGCGUUGUGGUGUGAGUACUACUUUUCUUUCCUAUUUUGUUCAGCCAGUAACUGGAUUUUGAUUCUCUUUCUCUACAAUAAUUUCCAUGCUUUAAUAGGGUGUCUUAGAGGCAAUCAGAAUCAGCUGUGCUGGGUACCCUACUCGCCGUGCGUUCUUUGAAUUCAUUAACCGAUUUGGAAUUCUAGCUCAAGAAUCCUUAGAAGGAAAGUAAGUAUUUUCAGUUUCAAAUAUUUUACAGCUCUCUUUCACUCUCAUACACUCUUGAGUUUAGUGGUGUGGAAAACAGAGAGCACCUCUGGUAUUCAUUCUGUAACAAUACUGCUUAGAGGACUUGAUAUUCUGCAUUCUGAAACCACCUUCCUUUUCUUGGUGACAGCUACGAUGAAAAGACUGUUUGCAAAAAGAUAUUAGAAAAGCAGGGACUCAAAGGGUUUCAGGUAAGACAGAGAGCUUGUCUUACACCUACUUUUAUGUGAAAAAUACUUCUUUCGUGAAUAAUGAAUCUCUUUCAAAACUAAAAUAAUCUAACCUUAACUUUCACAAUCAUUACAUUAGCCAAUAGAAAUUUAAUCACAGGAUUAUGAUACUUUUUUCCAGUAGCAACGAUGAUGGAGUGGUUGUAUGUGUUUAAAACAUCUACUAAUAUCAAAUCUUGUUCUUAAUGAAAAAUUUGCCCAAGCAUGCAGUCAUAUAUGGUGAACAUGAGGCAUAUAUAUCAACUUGCAUUUUGCAGAUAGGUAAGACAAAAGUAUUCCUGAGGGCUGGUCAGAUGGCUGAAUUAGAUGCUCGAAGAGCAGAGGUAUUGAGUAAUGCAGCAAAGACUAUUCAACGGCGCACACGAACCCAUAUUGCUCGUAAACAGUUCAUUGCAUUACGAAAGGCAACCAUAUACGUGCAAUCUAGAUGGAGAGGUAAGGCAUUUGAAGCAACUUGCUGGUACAUGAGUUCUACAACAAUCAAUAAUGCUAUUUACUUUUAUGAAGGACCCCCCACCAAAUUGAGGAAUUUUUAAGCUUACCGUUAAGUACGUUGCUACGGUUCUUUCAUUACAUGCAACUACCAUGAUUACAGGAAAACUGGCUUGCAAACUUUUCAAGAAUUUGAAGAGAGAGGCAGCUGCUGUGAAAAUUCAGAAAAGUGCUCGAAGAUUUCAUGCAAGAAAAACCUACAAAAAACUACAAGCCUCAGUGCUUUAUGUGCAAACUGGAUUAAGGGCAAUGGCAGCUAGGAAUGAAUUCAGAUUUAGGAAGCAGACUAAGGCGGCAAUUAUCAUUCAGGUUCCAUACUUAUAUUUAAUUGAUUUAAGCAAUCUAUUCCUGUUAUUGUUAGAUUAAAUAUUUUCCUGUUAAUACAUAAAAUUGUAGGCUCGAUGGCGUUGCCAUAAAGCUGCCUCAUACUAUAAAAAACUUCAGAGAGGCUCAAUAGUUGCACAAUGUAGAUGGAGGGGAAAAGUUGCUAGAAAGGAACUUAGAAAACUUAAAUUGGUAAGCAAUGAUCAAUUUAUUUUCUUGUAUAGAAUUUUAUUUCAUACCAUAUACUUGAAAUUUGUCGAUUUGAAAUAUCCAUUUGAUAACUUGAAACCUUGUAUGCUUGGACGUAUGUACCCAGGUGGCAACCAACCAAGGAUGUAUCAAAUCUUUUAUCUGAUGUUACUCUGAUUAUUGAUUUGGAUAGAAGUAGACAAUUUUCGUGUAUUCUAUGUUAAUAAAAAUUUCAAACUCCAAGUUCUUUUCUGUCUCUUGUUCUCUGUUUUCAUAUUAGGCAACUUAAAAGCACUCUUUUUUCAGGCUGCAAGGGAGACUGGUGCACUUAAAGAAGCAAAGGACAAGUUGGAAAAGAAAGUGGAGGAACUUACUUGGCGCAUACAGUUAGAAAAACGCCUGAGGGUAAUCUUAUGCUAUUUUAACAUUAAAUUUUAUUAUAUUUGUCACAGGUGAUGUUUUAUACUAAAACUUAUCACUGGGUAAUAAACUAUGGAAAAUACUCCCCAGGAAGACAUUCAGGCAGUUCCUUUUCAACUAAAUAUAAAAAGAACCAGUCAAUUUGAAACAAUCAAUUACUUGUAGUUUUGAUCUUCCUUUUUGGUUGACCUUAGAGAACUGACAACUUGUAACAAAUUAACUACUUGUAGUCUUUUUCAUCCUUUAUGGUUGACCCCAGAAACAAUAGUUGUACUGAGAUAAAUAUUUCACCUAAUAAGCUUUGAAUCAUCUGUGCAGACGGACCUGGAAGAGGCAAAAGCUCAGGAGAUAGGAAAGUUACAAAAUUCUUUGCAAGAACUGCAGACUAAAGUUGAUGAAACUAACUCAUUGCUCGUAAAGGAGCGAGAGGCUGUAAAGAAGGCUGUUGAAGAAGCACCUCCUGUUAUUCAAGAAACCCAAGUUCUGGUUGAAGAUACCAAGAAAAUUGAUGAUUUGACAACAGAAGUAGAAAACUUAAAGGUAUUGAUGAUUUUGCUCAUCAUUUAAACUAAAUUUAACUAAAUCGUUUUUUUGUUUUCAGCCUCUUCUUUUCGUUAAUGGAGCUCUGCAUGCUGAGAUCACUAUAUUAGUGGCUAUUCAAGUACAUGAAAGUCAAUGAUUUGGCCUGAUGUCAUUAGUGACAAUUUUUCUUUCUAUUUUCCAACCUUUUCUUUAUUUUAUGGUUGAUUGGUAUUUCAGCUAGAUGAGAUGUGUUUCUAACAUUCUGUUGUUAUAUAUCAGCAUUAACACAUGUCACAUAAUCAGUCAUUCAUUGUUUAUCCCAUUCCAGAUGAUUGGUAAUUCCUUUUACACUGAUUAAUACAUUUAUUUUACGAAUUCUCAGACCUCACUGGAGACAGAGAAAAGCAGAGCUGAUGAAUCUGAGAAAAAAUGUAGUGAAAUAGAAAAGUCUAGAGAAGAACAACGUAAAAAGUUAGAAGAUACAGAGAAAAAAGCUCAUCAGCUCCAGGAGUCAUUGACCAGGUAAUAUCACUAUUUUGAAAAUAGAGUAAAGUUCCAUCAAUCACCUUCUUAGAUUGCCUCUAUCUAUAUAUUUAAUAAUGUGGGACUUGCUGGCACUGAAUUGUUCCAACUUUUUGUUGAACUUAUGUAGAUGGACAAUAUUUAACAUGUUUACGAAAAUUGCACUCAGAUUGCCGUUAAGAUUUCUAACAAAUGUAUCAAGGUUUUUUAGGGAACUCAUGCUUAUGGGCUCUGACUUUCAGUCUUUAUAACAAUCCUCUAUAUAAGUUUAAGGCACUUCAGUUGUCUUCUACCUUAGUAAGAGCUACUAAUUUGACAUUCAUGAAUUGAUUAACUGAACACUCUCUUGAUUAGGCUAGAAGAGAAGCUUUCCAAUUUGGAAUCAGAGAAUCAAGUUUUGCGCCAACAAGCUUUGUCUAUGGCACCUAAUAAAAUCCUCUCAGGACGGUCUAGAUCAAUUCUUCAGGUAUUAUGAGACAUUGCUAUUAUAUGGCAGAUUGAUAACUAAUAAUUAAUUAUAUUGUGAUGUUGGGGAUAUUUACAUGUGAAAUUUUUGCGACAAAUGACAGAGAGGUGCUGAAAGUGGUCAUUAUGGAGGAGAAGGGAGAACACCUUUGGUCAGUAAAAGUGUAAAACUGUUGUUGAGCAUGGAAUUUAUUUGAAGGAAUAAAUAGAAGUUCUUCAUUCCAUUUUGGUUUUUCUUACGUUUAACUUACUAUCUCAUUUACUGAAUCAGGAUCUACACAGCCCCUCUAUUAACCAAAGGGAUUCAGAAGUAGAGGAUAAACCUCAAAAAUCACUUAAUGAUAAACAGCAAGAGAAUCAAGAUUUGCUCAUUCGAUGUAUUGCGCAGCACCUUGGCUUUGCAGGAAACAGGCCAAUUGCUGCUUGUAUCAUCUACAAGUGUCUGCUUCAGUGGAGGUCUUUUGAAGUCGAACGCACCAGUGUGUUUGAUAAGAUAAUUCAAACUAUAGGCCAUGCAAUUGAGGUUCAAACUGAUUGACCUUAAAUAUUACCGCUCUUUUCUGCAUGUCUUUUUAGUUUAGAGUCACUGCUAACAUGAAUACAAACACCAUUUUCUUUCCAGUCUCAGGAUAACAAUGAUGUCUUGGCGUAUUGGUUAUCCAACGCUUCAACGCUUCUCUUACUGCUUCAACGUACAUUGAAAGCAAGUGGUGCUGCUGGAAUGGCUCCACAACGUCGAAGAUCAUCGUCAGCUACAAUAUUUGGGAGGAUGACGCAAGUUAAUACAAAAGAAUUCACAAAUCAUUGUUAUUAUAUACAUAAAUUACCAUCAUACUUAAAUUUAUCUGAUGUUUUUCUUCUCUAAACUUUUUCUAGAGUUUCCGAGGAGCUCCACAAGGAGUCAAUCUAUCCUUAAUCAAUGGUGGAACAAGUGGUGGAGUGGACACUUUAAGGCAAGUUGAAGCGAAGUACCCUGCUCUGCUUUUCAAGCAGCAGCUUACAGCUUAUGUAGAGAAAAUUUAUGGAAUGAUAAGAGAUAAUCUGAAGAAAGAAAUUUCUCCAUUGCUAGGAUUGUGCAUCCAGGUAUGUAUAUUUAGAGUUUAUACCUUAUGAAUUAUCUGGUUCACUUCUUUAGUUUAAUUUCUUCCUAAUCACCAAUAGUCUAACCCUUAUUCAUGUAAUAUGGAAAAGGCACCAAGAACAUCAAGGGCAAGUUUGGUGAAGGGAUCUUCUCGUUCUGUUGCCAACACCGAGGCCCAGCGUGCCUUAAUUGCUCACUGGCAAGGAAUCGUGAAGAGCCUCGGAAACUUCUUAAACACCUUAAAAGCAAAUCAUGUAUGCAGAACCUUUAGCUUCUUUUUGCAAAUAUGGUUGACAAGUUAUUAACUUAUGGUUUCUCAAGUUGAAAUUCUCUUUAAUGAUCGUUUUACUCUAGAAGCAUACGCAGGUGUAAUUGGUUGUUUUGGACCUUUUUAGUUAAUUUCUUUUUCUGAAUCGUAUAUUCUUUCUCCUUCCUAUGUCUAAUGUCAUUAUAGGUACCCCCAUUUUUGGUUCGCAAAGUCUUCAUACAAAUAUUUUCUUUCAUCAACGUUCAACUGUUUAACAGGUUUUCAGCCCUCCUAUUUCUUGUUCUUGAGGUACUUAACUAAGAGCUUUCUCAAUCAGCAAACAUGUUUUCUUUCUUUACAGUCUUCUAUUACGACGAGAAUGUUGUUCAUUUAGCAAUGGUGAAUACGUCAAAGCUGGGCUGUCCGAAUUAGAGCAUUGGUGUUAUAAAGCUACUGAUGAGGUACCUCGAAAACGCUGCUUUAUCUUAUUUAUUUUCUUUAAACGGUUACUGACUGAUAAAAUUAAAAUGCAGUAUGCAGGUUCUGCUUGGGACGAGCUAAAGCAUAUUAGACAAGCGAUCGGGUUUCUGGUAUCUCCCCAUCCUUCUAUUAUGUUCAAGUCCUCUCUCAAAAACUUCUUCAAUUGGACAACAGGAAAAUAAGCUAAAUUCUUGCUUCAAUACUGUAAUAGGUUAUUCAUCAGAAGCCAAAGAAGACAUUAGAUGAAAUAAGUCACGAUCUGUGUCCGGUAAGUGGCGUGUAAGCAAUUGGUGUACAAUACACAUACAUAAGUACUGUUUUUAUGCAGUUACUCUCCUAAUGACCAAACCAAAUUCUUCAAUCACAGGUACUAAGUAUACAGCAGCUGUAUCGUAUAAGUACGAUGUACUGGGACGACAAAUAUGGCACCCAUAGUGUUUCACCCGAUGUAAGAUUUUAAACAUUGUAUUUCAUCUCUUGUAGUUCGACUCUAAAGAUCUAUGUUUGAACCACUCUUGUCUAUAUCAUUUUUGCAAAAGUUCAUAAAUCUUUAUUGUUCAUCCUUCUCCUAGGUUAUAUCCAAUAUGAGGGUGUUAAUGACCGAAGAUUCGAACCAUGCAAUUAGCAAUUCAUUUCUAUUAGACGACGAUUCAAGGUUAGUAUCUUUUUACCAGGAUUUGAAGGACAGUAAACUUAUAUUUUUCUCAAUCUUUGUGAAAAAAAAAAAUCAUGAAGGGCCUUAUUUAUAGACUAGAAGAAGAAGAGUCCAGCAAACAUGAACAACCUUAACAUGUUUAUUGGUUGCUUUUGUACGGCAGCAUUCCAUUCUCAGUUGAUGAUUUAUCAAAGUCUAUGGAACAAAUAGACAUCGGAGACAUCGAACCACCACCGCUGAUUCGGGAAAACUCAGGCUUUAGUUUCUUGUUACCACGAACAGACUAAUAGACAAAUCUCCGAUCUCCUUCUCUCUCUCAGAGCUUAAAUUGUCAAGAUCCUGUCUGAAUUGGAACCCUCCCGCAUGCUUAUUUCCUCAAGAGGUUCUACAGAUGCAAAUAUGCCUUGCAGUUUGAAGUGAAAUGAAGACAACUCUGCCACAAAAUGGCUAAGAAAUUGCUUCAAAUCACUUUCCUAACAUUGUAGUUCAAAUUUCUUCACUAUACUUUGUAUGAGUUUUAGAUUUUCGGAGACAGUCAGUUGAAGUAGAAGGCGGUAUCAUAGAUUUCCACAUUUUCUUUGUAUUUUAGUUGUAUUUUCUCUGAGAUCGUUUCCAUUAACUUUAUAAAUAAUAAGCCAUCAUCAGUUCAGAAUAAUGUUUUUUUCUUUAUCAAAUUGCUUACAGAUUGGUAAGCUUCAUAUCAACUUAGUUUGACUCAAGGAAAAGAGCUUAAAUAUUUAAGAAUUAGCUGGUUGAGUUAUUACACUACAAAAUACUCAUACUGUUUUAUUCUAUCAUGUGCGAAACCUUUAAACAAAGCACCAAAACAGUAUAUCAAGCAAAGCUGUAUAAUUUGCUUGUAGUAAUUAAUUGCUCAAAAUUUGAUCUCUGACUAAAGUGUCAAUCAACUCUCCCAGAUUGAGUAAGAAUUCAACCCAAUACGGAUCAAAUCAACGAGUUUUCCUUACUUUCGUCCUAUUUCACUCAAAAGAUUGAAUGGAGAUACAGAUAGUGUAUCAAGUUGUUUCUACUGCCUUGGUUAUAACAUUAAGUAAUCUGAUGAUCAAUAGAAGAAACUUAGCACUAUUCCCUAUUAUUUAACUAAAAGCACUAAUCACCCUCUCAAAGGUCCAUUGUUUAUGAUCAUAUUCUGCAAUUUAUUGAACUAAGAGAGAAAACAAAAUAGCGUGGUCAUUGCUUAAGCUAAAAGACAGGCUUAGAAAAAUUUAGAAAGUUAGUAUUUACCUAUAUACUUCAAUCCUAACAACACCAAAGUAGGAAAGAUACUCGACUCCUAAGCGUAGGAAUCGAAGAUGUUGGUCUAAGUUGAUUUAUUUAUAUAGAACUUUAAAGUUUUGAUUUGAUAUAUACACAAUUAUUAGUUUGAAAUUUUAAUUGAUAAUUUAAUACAAUUCCUGAUGUUUACAGCUAUAAAUUGAUUUCUUUCUCCAAAAAGUAUCUAUAAAUUGAUUUUACCCAGAGAUUUAAUGAACAUUGGCACAAAAAAUAAAUUAAAGGAAAAAAAAUGCGAGACCAUUUUGUUUCUAUCAAAAUGUUUUUAGGCCAACCUGCAUUGUUCGAGGGACAAUUUAUAUAUAUCAGUAGAAAGUUCAGAUCUCCAUACCUUCAUGUUCAUGUUAUGCUAAUUAUAUGUGAAAAUAACGUGGGACAUUCUAAAGAUUAAAAUGUUUGUCUAUAUAUAAUUGUAGAUCAAAUGAUUCAAUAUGAACAUGCACCGUACUAAUAGCAAGAUUAUUAUAAGUUAGUUUAAAGUUGAAACAUAAUUAUUAAAUUUAAACAUCUUUACAACUUUUUUACUUACAACGAUAUUGGUUGACAUUUAUCAAUAUAUUCAUCAAUAUUCUAUAAAAUAUCGAUAUAAAUAACGACAUAUCACGCGAUAUUUUAGUCCUUUUGGUGGUUUGUUUGUAAAGAGGAAAACAAAAAGAAAAUAACAUGAUAACCCUUGUAGGUUAAGUAUAAUUAGUGACAAUUUUAGAAAUAAGAACCUUUUUUAAAAAUUGUAAAUAUAACAAAAUCUACAUGUGAUAAACUUUCUAUAGACUUUGACAGAUUUUGAUAUAUUUACAAAUUUUAAAUUUUUUUGCUAUAUAUGUAAUGACUAUAUUUACAAUUAUUCCAAAUAAUAAAGAACAGCCCUCAACUAUUUCCAAAGCACAUACACCAACAGAAUUACUAUGCAUAUUGUUCCUCCUAGUGGGCGUAUUGAGCAUCAAGUUUGAGUGAGAGUAGGUAAGACCCUCACCUACACGUAAGAAUACGAAGACUAUUGUAUUAGAUUAUUACGUGAAAGCGAAUGCAAGCCAAUCGAAAGAGAGUACAGGAGAGGAAGAGUGCUUUUAUCGUAUGAGAACAUUAAGAUCACGAUAGACAAUAUAAAUACCGUAAGGAUGCAUUAUACUCUAUGAGUUUAGAUAUCAAUAUGUGUAAGUUUUACAGUUUGGAAUAGUAAUGUUACGACCACAGUGAGCUAGGGGCCGUAUCCGUAAAAGAAGAACUAUUCAAACAGUACUGUAUAAAGAUUUUUUUUAAAAAAAGGAAAGGAAAGGAAAAUCUCAGGAAGUGAUGAUCUAGUUUACUUUAGUACAUGAAUCAAGUCAAAUUUGGAGUUUGAAUAAAUAUUGAAAAUUUCAAAAUGGUUUCAAUUAUGAUUAUUACUAGUCCACAUCAACAAUGGCUUUAGUUGUCUAAACUUUUCAUGUGCUGCAUACUAUUAUACAUAUACAACCAGUCAAACUGCAAAUCAACAUCAAUCACUGUCAUUAUAUAUUUUUCAAUCAGGAAAGAAAAAAACAUAAAUAAAAUCAAAAUUACAAAAUAAAUAAAUUGCUUUGAUCAAACAAACAAAUCAAUCUUCUAUUGUCUUGACUUUGAAUGAUUACUUUGUAUAUAUAUAUAGAAAGAAAAAUAGUGUUCUAGAUGCUUUAAACCGAACUCCUUGUAUGACUAUUAUUUAUUAUUCCAGUUUCAAACUUCCAAUUUUUUUGGUGAUACAUUGAAUAAUAAAAUUAUUAUAGGUGUCAUUAGUUUUAAAUUUGAGAAGGUCAUUGUUAAUAACUAUAAGUAGAAUUCUUUAAUAUCUUACUAUAUAUUAACUAUUUUAAAAUAUUUGACGUAUGAGCAUGAAAUGGAUGUUUAGAAUAUGAUGAUUAUGUACACAAUUAAUUAACAUGUGAUGAGGAAAUUUAUAUAAUAUAUGGAUGUAAACUUGUUAUUAAUUUUUUUUUUAUCUAAGGUAUAGUUAUCUAUAUGGUUGGAAGCUACCCCAUGCAACGUCCAAAGGCCAUGGACAUACAAGUCCACUUUUAAGAAAAAUUGAAUUAACCAGUCAAGUCAUUGAAUAUAUAUAACAAUAAAAAUAUAACGAGUCACUCUCGAUUUAAUACCUUAGUAGCCUUGGGUGCCAAAAGCUUGUAGACAUCACACUAAUGCAAGAAGAAACUUUCAAGCAUGUUAGUUGGUUUGGAAAUCGAUACCCAACCAAGAAAAUGGAACUAGAGGUCAAGUGCAUGAGAUGCCUCCAAUGCGUGUGAAGUUCUAGACGCCGAAUCAUUUCAAUCUAUGGAUGUUAAACUAAAAUAUUUAGAAGAAAAAAUUUCAAUUUAUAUCUUCCACCCUUUAGGGUCGGUAUCAAUUUAAAUCUUAAAUUUUUUUAUUACUAAUUUAUAACUUCCUUCAUAUUUUGUCUAAAAGAUAUCGUGUGGUACACUAUAUUUUUUAAAUUAAACGACGUCUAGGUUAUAUGUUUUACAAAGUGAAUCAAUUUAAUUAAAACUUUAUAUUAAUAUGGAUUAUGUUUGAAAUUUUUGCAUUCAUAUGUAAAUGUACCAUUAACGAUUAGGAUUAAUUAUUGUAGGGAUAACUUUUAGCAAAAAUCUUAAUUAAGAGUAAAAUCCAUUUAAUCACUUAUAUACUAAAGUUUAAGGAUUUAUUGAUAAAAGUAUAAGUUUCACACACGCUACUGAUUCACACAAAUAGAAAUAUAGAGUUUAAUUAAAUUGAUAUUCUUGAGAUACAACUACAAUUCUACAAGUAUGAAUUGGUAUUAUAUGUGGAAGAAGUUGACUAAUAUUUGAAGCAAAUGUUGGAAAAGAAUCACAUAGUUGAAUUGAAAAAUAUUGCAGUUCACAGAGACUAAGGAUUUUGUUAAAUAAUUAGAGGAAAAAGAUUUUUCUAUGUUUUGUAUUUAUAUUUUAAAAAUCAAAGUUUCCUAAUCUUAAUUAUGAGCUGUUGCCCUAAUCCAAACCAAGUGAUAGCUUUAUAUAUAUAUAUAUAUAUAUAAUUUCUUUCAAUUCAUAUGUGGUGAGAGAUUUGAAGAGGCAUAUAUAACUUUAAUAUCCAAUUCAACUAUAAUUGAGUUUGAAAAAUAAUGAACAUUUUGAGGAUAAGUUUAUUAUUAUAUAUUUAUUAUUUCUUAAAAUGAAUUGACUUAAAAAUUGGAUAAUAAUAUAUAUGUUACAUCCACGUAAUUAUUAAGUCAGAAAAAUUCAAAAUUUUGGAUAGUUAUAACCCAACUAAUUAUUAUUUUAAAAAAAGUGUGUAUAUAUACAUAUAUAUUGGUGAAAUAAUAAGAUGAAAAUAAGUAGCAAAUAAAUAUUAUUAGAAUUUGGUUUACCAAAACAAAACAUAACUUUUAUUUCUUGACCUCAACAUAUAUAUUUAUACUCUCCAGUCUAAGUUAUCUUUUCAAUUUUUUAUUUUUAACAAACUAAGUAUAAUUAUUCAACUUGACAUUAUUAAUACCCACGAGUGGGAUUUGUGGUUGGGAGGCUCCUACUUUAAUUCUACUUAAAAAACAUUACUAUAUUUGAUAUCGUAUUAAAUAUAAUUUACUUAAAUCAAAAUAUUCUAUCUUAAUUAUUAUGUUAGUGUGAGCAUAACUUAACAGAUCUACAAAGAUGUUAGUGACAUAUGUGGUUCAUCAAUGAAAUAUUUCAUCUUAUAUUUUUUCUCUUUCUAAAAUUAGAAAGAAAAAAAAUACAUAUUUUCCCUAAUCAUUGAUUUUUUAAUAAAUUAUUGAACAAAUGAAGACCAAAGACAAGCAUAUAGAAGUAUUGAUUUCUAAAUUAUAUUAUUCAUAUUUAGGAUUUUUAUAAAAAAAAAAAGUCUUGAACACAGUUGUUUGAUUAUAACCCUAAUUAUUUUUUAUUAUUUUUUUGUUUCUUUUUAAAUUUAGCUUUGUUUCCUUACCAUUGAUUUGCCAUGGUUUUCAUCAAGUAGAUAACAAAAAAAAAGUUUUUUUUAUGAACUAAAAUUUCAAAUUAAAGAUCAAAAUAUAAAAAACCAAGUAUUCAUACAAAUGAAGGGAAAAAAAACAAGUGAAAGUAGUUGUUCAUAAAUUUAAUAAAGACACAAAACAAAUUAAUUUUCAAAUAUGUGUCUGCACAACAAUUGGUCCUAAUUGAAAUAAGCAAGUUCAAAUAAAGUAUAUAUAUAUAUAUACUUGAAGCUUGAAAAUUCACUUUUUUUUUGCAUAUAUAUACUUGAAUUCCUAACCAGACCAACAAAAAGAGACAACCACAAAUAUAAUCUAUUGAAAAAAACAAGAAGAUUGAAACUCCAUAAUGUUGUUGGGAAGAAUAUUGUUAUUAUUUUGUGUUUCAAAACAACCUUGACCAUCAAAUUGGAGGAGCGACUCCAUGUGAUGAUCAUCUGAGAACUUCAAAACUUCCAUUUCAUGACGAUCUGCAUGAAACAUUGCAGAUGGAGUUCGGGCACAGUCGGAGAGCAAUUUCUGGUUCCUCCGGCGAGUAGGAGUAUUGGAGUCAAAGCCGGUGAGUUGCUGAACAAUGGCUCUGAACUCAAGUGCAUUGCUUGCUUUGAUCAUCAUUGGACUUGAAAUGUACUUUACUUUUAUGGGUUUUCUCUGAACUUUUGUAGGGUUUUGGUUUUGGCUUUGGCUUUGGCUGUGGUUGUGGUUAGUGUAUUGAUUCUCUCCACACUUCCCCAUUAGAGAGAGUUAGAAAGAGAGAGAUAUCUCUCUCUUGCUUUUGAACAAAGAAUUGGGUUCUAUAUAUAAUAUUGAUACCUAGAGAUAAAGAUGUAGAGAGUUGGAGAG
rnacentral:lncRNA from 1 species